AUUGAACGCUGGCGGCAGGCUUAACACAUGCAAGUCGAACGGUAACAUAAAGAAGCUUGCUUCUUUGAUGACGAGUGGCGGACGGGUGAGUAAUGCUUGGGAAUCUAGCUUAUGGAGGGGGAUAACUACGGGAAACUGUAGCUAAUACCGCGUAAUAUCGAAAGAUUAAAGUGUGGGACCUUCGGGCCACAUGCCAUAGGAUGAGCCCAAGUGGGAUUAGGUAGUUGGUGAGGUAAAGGCUCACCAAGCCGACGAUCUCUAGCUGGUCUGAGAGGAUGACCAGCCACACUGGGACUGAGACACGGCCCAGACUCCUACGGGAGGCAGCAGUGGGGAAUAUUGCGCAAUGGGGGCAACCCUGACGCAGCCAUGCCGCGUGAAUGAAGAAGGCCUUCGGGUUGUAAAGUUCUUUCGGUAGCGAGGAAGGCAUUUAGUUUAAUAGACUAGGUGAUUGACGUUAACUACAGAAGAAGCACCGGCUAACUCCGUGCCAGCAGCCGCGGUAAUACGGAGGGUGCGAGCGUUAAUCGGAAUAACUGGGCGUAAAGGGCACGCAGGCGGUGACUUAAGUGAGGUGUGAAAGCCCCGGGCUUAACCUGGGAAUUGCAUUUCAUACUGGGUCGCUAGAGUACUUUAGGGAGGGGUAGAAUUCCACGUGUAGCGGUGAAAUGCGUAGAGAUGUGGAGGAAUACCGAAGGCGAAGGCAGCCCCUUGGGAAUGUACUGACGCUCAUGUGCGAAAGCGUGGGGAGCANNCAGG
rnacentral:rRNA from 1 species